rnacentral:rRNA from 1 species
UCCGGUGACUUAACGCCGUGGAACUACCUUUUUCCAUUCCGAACAAAGAAGUAAAACGCGGUAGUGCCGAUGGUACUCGCAAGGGGAGAGUAGGUAGUCGCCGGUC